CCAGACUCCUACGGGAGGCAGCAGUCGGGAAUAUUGCGCAAUGGAGGAAACUCUGACGCAGUGACGCCGCGUGCAGGAAGAAGGUUUUCGGAUUGUAAACUGCUUUAGACAGGGAAGAUAAUGACAGUACCUGUAGAAUAAGCUCCGGCUAACUACGUGCCAGCAGCCGCGGUAAUACGUAGGAUCCGAGCGUUAUCCGGAUUUAUUGGGUUUAAAGGGUGCGUAGGCGGUCAGGUAAGUUAGAGGUGAAAGCUCGAUGCUCAACAUCGAAACUGCCUCUGAUACUGUCUGACUAGAGUGUAGUUGCGGAAGGCGGAAUGUGUGGUGUAGCGGUGAAAUGCUUAGAUAUCACACAGAACACCGAUUGCGAAGGCAGCUUUCCAAGCUAUUACUGACGCUGAGGCACGAAAGCGUGGGGAGCGAACAGGAUUAGAUACCCCCGUAUC
rnacentral:rRNA from 1 species